UCAGUAAAUUCAGAAACUGACAGUAUAUAUCUGGGGGUUGCCAAAUGCCUGUUAAAUGGCUUCAUUACCACUUGAAUGGCUCUUUAACAGUUUCAAUGUUGUGCUAAUAGGUCUGGAAGGCUUUUUCACUUUUAAGGACUAGAGUUACCAGCUAUGUUGGGCCUUGGGUGUGGGGCGAAUUGGGCAGGAGAAGCUAGAGGAAGCCCCCUAGUGGAUGCCCAGCCCCCUCACAAGGGUUUGGGACAGACUCAUGGCUGGCAGCACUGAGUUCAACGGGCUGAGGUGAGAUCCUCAAUUCAGACUACUCUCUCUCUGA
rnacentral:RNase_P_RNA from 2 species